GCCCAGCUAGCUCAGCUAGUCAAGUAUGGGACUCCUGAUUGCAGAAUUGUGGGUUUGAGCCCCACACUGGGUG